rnacentral:lncRNA from 1 species
UAUCUUCUCUUUCUUCCUGCCUUGAACAGGAAUGUGGUGACUGGUGCUGUGGCAGCCAUCUUGCAACUAUGAGGCAGACACAGAGAGCAUUUCAGAAGGAUGUCACAAGGACAAUGAGAUGUGAAAGUACUUGGAUUGUGAAAUAUCAGGUAUUAUAUUCAAUUAUGUACAUAUAUUUCACCGUAUUUUGGUUAUUAAUCAAUCACUCCACUGCUGCGGAGCUCAGAAAGUAAUUGUUGAAUGGAUGAAUGAAGGCUAGACACACAGGGGAACAGAGGUACAGGUCAUAGAUUUUAUUAGCAAAUUUUAAUCUAGCAUCUUUUGAUAAGGGAUAACUAUGUCUAAAGUGAACUAAAACUGAAAUAUCUAAAUAUCAGGCUGGGUACUAAGGAAAGCUACGGCAUAGGAUACUACACAGUCAAGGGCCAAAUCUACUCCACGUAGGAUUGCAGCUCUGUAAUUUCAAAGCAGAGUGACGAUCCUCAGGCUGGGGCAGUGAGGACGGAUGUCCGAGCCAGAUGCUAGCUUUGCAGCAGACCUGAGUAUGUGUGUAGGAAUGGGGUAGGCAGAGAAGAGGUGGGGAAGCUGCAGGGUAUCACACAAAGAUGGAAAAAUGGCAGGAAAAAAUGCCUACAUUUUUCUUUUAAGUAGGAAGAAGGGCUCUUAAAUUCGAGUCAUUUGGCUGGAAGAUGACUCAGGAAAAAAAGAUAAUAAAUAGUGCUUUAAGACAUAUUUACUAAAAUAAGAGGUUCUCCAUUUUCUCUUAAUAAAGUUCUUUUUUUUUUCUUUCUUUCUUUCUUCUUAGAGUCUCAGACAGUGGGGUCAGAGAGACGAGGUAGACAACAUUGCGGAGGGCAGAAGAGCUCUCCAGAAAAGGGAAAAAGAUUCAGUUGUUGGUGGGAUUUUACUGCCUUUACCUUUGGCUGGUUUGUUUGAGGACAGGGUGGUAAGGCUGGGAUCGGGGAGGGCGAGCUCUGAGAUCCAGUGCUAGACCUCGAUUACUCAUUUGAGACUCACUGGGAGUUCCCACUGAGGAUCAGCAGGUUAAGAAC